rnacentral:rRNA from 1 species
UACAGAGGUCUCAAGCGUUGUUCGGAUUCAUUGGGCGUAAAGGGCGCGUAGGUGGCUCCGUAAGUCGGGUGUGAAAUUUCGGAGCUUAACUCCGAAACUGCAUUCGAUACUGCCGUGCUUGAGGACUGGAGAGGAGACUGGAAUUUACGGUGUAGCGGUGAAAUGCGUAGAUAUCGUAAGGAAGACCAGUGGCGAAGGCGGGUCUCUGGACAGUUCCUGACGCUGAGGCACGAAGGCCAGGGGAGCAAACGGG